rnacentral:rRNA from 1 species
CGGACGGGUGAGUAAUGCCUAGGAAUCUGCCUGGUAGUGGGGGACAACGUUUGAAAGGAACGCUAAUACCGCAUACGUCCUACGGGAGAAAGCAGGGGACCUUCGGGCCUUGCGCUAUCAGAUGAGCCUAGGUCGGAUUAGCUAGUUGGUGAGGUAAUGGCUCACCAAGGCGACGAUCCGUAACUGGUCUGAGAGGAUGAUCAGUCACACUGGAACUGAGACACGGUCCAGACUCCUACGGGAGGCAGCAGGA